AGGAUUUAGGUCUCCUGCAGGUUGGUGAGUGAUUUGGGAGCUCUGGGUAGAAGAGGUGUACCUCGGCCUAGUUUGGUUGCUGAACUAGAACAACACGAGAUCAAUCAAUCUGCAGGAAACAAAAAAUGGAAGUCGAGGUUUAGGAAGAGUUGUCACUUCCCCGACUUGAGUGGUGCAGGCUGGGGGCGGAGACUUGGGACCUAAGAGAGGCCAUUUCUCUCACCUCAGCUCCCUUCCCUUGGACUUCCAAAAGGAAUAAUUUUACUCUCUCCUCCAUUCUCCCCACAACUCUCAUCCCCGCUAGCCCUCAGGCCGCCUGCCCCUUUCCGCACCUCCUUUUCCCAUCCAGCGAGAGAAACCUAGCUCCCAGAGCCGGUGCAGUCAGUCCCCUCGCCCCUCCCGCCGCUGCGCGGGUCCCCCUCCAGCCGUCGCUGCAACCACCACCUCGGUUCCACUCAAUCGAUUUUUGCUGCAUGUCAACACUUAUUACCGGAAUCUUCAAAUGAUAAUUUUGAAAAGAGAAGCAGUCCUUUUCAUGAUGAAGAGAUGAGUUGUCAAAAGCCCAGUUUCUCCAGGGCAGAAGAUUUCAGUCUCUGAUCACUCAUUCUGGGAGAAGACAACGGUCAUAUCAUGUCAUGAAGAUACUCAUGCAGUCCUAUGGAGAAUUUCAUUGGUAAGAAACUGAGCUAGAAUGAACUUGACAGCCUUGUGAGAGAGCCAUCUUAGAAGCAGACCUUCAGCCUCAGACAGCUUUCAGAGGAUUGUAGCCCCAGCUGAAAUGUCAACCACAAUCUCAUGAGAGACAUUGAACCAGAAUCACCCAGCCAAGCUGUUCCCAAAUUCCUGAGCCAUAGAAACUAUGUGAGAUAAUAAAUGUUUAUUGUUGUUCUCAGCCACUA